UACAGAGGGUGCAAGCGUUGUUCGGAAUUAUUGGGCGUAAAGCGCGUGUAGGCGGCUUUGCAAGUCGGGUGUGAAAGCCCUCGGCUCAACCGAGGAAGUGCGCCCGAAACUGCAGAGCUUGAGUACCGGAGAGGAUGGCGGAAUUCCCCAAGUAGAGGUGAAAUUCGUAGAUAUGGGGAGGAACACCGGUGGCGAAGGCGGCCAUCUGGACGGAUACUGACGCUGAGACGCGAAAGCGUGGGGAGCAAACAGGG
rnacentral:rRNA from 1 species